rnacentral:rRNA from 1 species
GGUGAGUAACACGUGGGUAACCUGCCCUUGAAGUAGGGGAUAACACUUGGAAACAGGUGCUAAUACCGUAUAACAACCAAAACCACCUGGUUUUGGUUUAAAAGACGGCUUCGGCUGUCACUUUAGGAUGGACCCGCGGCGUAUUAGCUUGUUGGUAAGGUAACGGCUUACCAAGGCGAUGAUACGUAGCCGACCUGAGAGGGUAAUCGGCCACAUUGGGACUGAGACACGGCCCAAACUCCUACGGGAGGCAGCAGUAGGGAAUCUUCCACAAUGGACGAAAGUCUGAUGGAGCAACGCCGCGUGAGUGAUGAAGGGUUUCGGCUCGUAAAACUCUGUUGUUGGAGAAGAACAGGUGUCAGAGUAACUGUUGACAUCUUGACGGUAUCCAACCAGAAAGCCACGGCUAACUACGUGCCAGCAGCCGCGGUAAUACGUAGGUGGCAAGCGUUGUCCGGAUUUAUUGGGCGUAAAGCGAGCGCAGGCGGUUUUUUAGGUCUGAUGUGAAAGCCUUCGGCUUAACCGGAGAAGUGCAUCGGAAACCGGGAGACUUGAGUGCAGAAGAGGACAGUGGAACUCCAUGUGUAGCGGUGAAAUGCGUAGAUAUAUGGAAGAACACCAGUGGCGAAGGCGGCUGUCUGGUCUGUAACUGACGCUGAGGCUCGAAAGCAUGGGUAGCGAACAGGAUUAGAUACCCUGGUAGUCCAUGCCGUAAACGAUGAGUGCUAAGUGUUGGAAGGGUUUCCGCCCUUCAGUGCUGCAGCUAACGCAUUAAGCACUCCGCCUGGGGGAGUACGACCGCAAGGUUGAAACUCAAAGGAAUUGACGGGGGCCCGCACAAGCGGUGGAGCAUGUGGUUUAAUUCGAUGCUACGCGAAGAACCUUACCAGGUCUUGACAUCUUCUGCCAACCUAAGAGAUUAGGCGUUCCCUUCGGGGACAGAAUGACAGGUGGGUGCAUGGUUGUCGUCAGCUCGUGUCGUGAGAAUGUUUGGGUUAAGUCCCGCAACGAGCGCAACCCUUAUUGUUAGUUGCCAGCAUUCAGUUGGGCACUCUAGCAAGACUGCCGGUGACAACCGGAGGAAAAGGGGGGGAUAAAGUCAAAUCAUCAUGGCCCCUUUUAACCUGGGGUACACCCUGGUUCAAUGGAAGGUACAACCAAUUCCGGAAACCCGGAGGUCAACUAAUUCCUUAAACCGUUCUCUAUUCCGAAUUUAGGGGCGCACUCCCCCCCCCAAAAAUGGGGAACCC